AUUGAACGCUGGCGGCAUGCCUUACACAUGCAAGUCGAACGGUAACGGGCCUUCGGGUGCCGACGAGUGGCGAACGGGUGCGUAAUACAUCGGAACGUGCCCGAUCGUGGGGGAUAACGAGGCGAAAGCUUUGCUAAUACCGCAUACGAUCUACGGAUGAAAGCAGGGGACCGCAAGGCCUUGCGCGGACGGAGCGGCCGAUGGCAGAUUAGGUAGUUGGUGGGAUAAAAGCUUACCAAGCCGACGAUCUGUAGCUGGUCUGAGAGGAUGAUCAGCCACACUGGGACUGAGACACGGCCCAGACUCCUACGGGAGGCAGCAGUGGGGAAUUUUGGACAAUGGGCGCAAGCCUGAUCCAGCCAUGCCGCGUACAGGAUGAAGGCCUUCGGGUUGUAAACUGCUUUUGUACGGAACGAAAAGCCUUCUUUUAAUACAGGAGGGUCAUGACGGUACCGGAAGAAUAAGCACCGGCUAACUACGUG
rnacentral:rRNA from 1 species